CAUGCAAGUCGAGGGGCAGCACAAAGAUAGUUUACUAUUUUGGUGGCGACCGGCGCACGGGUGAGUAACGCGUGUGCAACCUACCUUAUACAGGAGUAUAGCCCGAAGAAAUUCGGAUUAAUCCUCCAUAGUAUUUUCUAAUGGCAUCAUUUGGAAAAUUAAAGCUUCGGCGGUAUAAGAUGGGCAUGCGUCCUAUUAGCUAGAUGGUAAGGUAAUGGCUUACCAUGGCAACGAUAGGUAGGGGGCCUGAGAGGGUGACCCCCCACACUGGUACUGAGACACGGACCAGACUCCUACGGGAGGCAGCAGUGAGGAAUAUUGGGCAAUGGAGGCAACUCUGACCCAGCCAUGCCGCGUGCAGGAGGAAUGCCCUAUGGGUUGUAAACUGCUUUUAUUUAGGAAUAAACCCUUCUACGUGUAGAAGGCUGAAUGUACUAAACGAAUAAGCACCGGCUAACUCCGUGCCAGCAGCCGCAGUAAUACGGAGGGUGCAAGCGUUAUCCGGAAUCAUUGGGUUUAAAGGGUCCGCAGGCGACGUAUAGGUCAGUGGUGAAAUCCUGCAGCUUAACUGCAGAACUGCCAUUGAUACUGUACGUCUUGAAUUCGGUCGAAGUGGGCGGAAUGUGUAGUGUAGCGGUGAAAUGCAUAGAUAUUACACAGAACACCGAUAGCGAAGGCAGCUCACUAGGCCUGGAUGACG
rnacentral:rRNA from 1 species